GUCGAGCGGACAGAUGGGAGCUUGCUCCCUGAUGUUAGCGGCGGACGGGUGAGUAACACGUGGGUAACCUGCCUGUAAGACUGGGAUAACUCCGGGAAACCGGGGCUAAUACCGGAUGGUUGUUUGAACCGCAUGGUUCAAACAUAAAAGGUGGCUUCGGCUACCACUUACAGAUGGACCCGCGGCGCAUUAGCUAGUUGGUGAGGUAACGGCUCACCAAGGCAACGAUGCGUAGCCGACCUGAGAGGGUGAUCGGCCACACUGGGACUGAGACACGGCCCAGACUCCUACGGGAGGCAGCAGUAGGGAAUCUUCCGCAAUGGACGAAAGUCUGACGGAGCAACGCCGCGUGAGUGAUGAAGGUUUUCGGAUCGUAAAGCUCUGUUGUUAGGGAAGAACAAGUACCGUUCGAAUAGGGCGGUACCUUGACGGUACCUAACCAGAAAGCCACGGCUAACUACGUGCCAGCAGCCGCGGUAAUACGUAGGUGGCAAGCGUUGUCCGGAAUUAUUGGGCGUAAAGGGCUCGCAGGCGGUUUCUUAAGUCUGAUGUGAAAGCCCCCGGCUCAACCGGGGAGGGUCAUUGGAAACUGGGGAACUUGAGUGCAGAAGAGGAGAGUGGAAUUCCACGUGUAGCGGUGAAAUGCGUAGAGAUGUGGAGGAACACCAGUGGCGAAGGCGACUCUCUGGUCUGUAACUGACGCUGAGGAGCGAAAGCGUGGGGAGCGAACAGGAUUAGAUACCCUGGUAGUCCACGCCGUAAACGAUGAGUGCUAAGUGUUAGGGGGUUUCCGCCCCUUAGUGCUGCAGCUAACGCAUUAAGCACUCCGCCUGG
rnacentral:rRNA from 1 species